GAUGAACGCUGGCGGCGUGCCUAAUACAUGCAAGUCGAACGCUGAAGGAAGGAGCUUGCUCUUUCCGGAUGAGUUGCGAACGGGUGAGUAACGCGUAGGUAACCUGCCUGGUAGCGGGGGAUAACUAUUGGAAACGAUAGCUAAUACCGCAUAACAGUAGAUGUUGCAUGAUAUCUACUUAAAAGGUGCAAUUGCACCACUACCAGAUGGACCUGCGUUGUAUUAGCUAGUUGGUGAGGUAACGGCUCACCAAGGCGACGAUACAUAGCCGACCUGAGAGGGUGAUCGGCCACACUGGGACUGAGACACGGCCCAGACUCCUACGGGAGGCAGCAGUAGGGAAGCUUCGGCAAUGGACGGAAGUCUGACCGAGCAACGCCGCGUGAGUGAAGAAGGGUUUCGGAUCGUAAAGCUCUGUUGUAAGAGAAGAACGAGUGUGAGAGUGGAAAGUUCACACUGUGACGGUAGCUUACCAGAAAGGGACGGCUAACUACGUG
rnacentral:rRNA from 1 species